UACGUAGGUGGCAAGCGUUGUCCGGAAUUAUUGGGCGGAAAGCGCGCGCAGGUGGUUUCUUAAGUCUGAUGUGAAAGCCCACGGCUCAACCGUGGAGGGUCAUUGGAAACUGGGGAACUUGAGUGCAGGAGAGAAGAGUGGAAUUCCACGUGUAGCGGUGAAAUGCGUAGAGAUGUGGAGGAACACCAGUGGCGAAGGCGACUCUUUGGCCUGUAACUGACACUGAGGCGCGAAAGCGUGGGGAGCAAACAGG
rnacentral:rRNA from 1 species